rnacentral:rRNA from 1 species
AACCAACAGGGAUUGCCCUAGUAACGGCGAGUBAAGCGGCAACAGCUCAAAUUUGAAAUCUGGCUCUUUCAGAGUCCGAGUUGUAAUUUGCAGAGGGCGCUUUGGCUUUGGCAGCGGUCCAAGUUCCUUGGAACAGGACGUCACARAGGGUGAGAAUCCCGUACGUGGUCGCUAGCUAUUGCCGUGUAAAGCCCCUUCGACGAGUCGAGUUGUUUGGGAAUGCAGCUCUAAAUGGGAGGUAAAUUUCUUCUAAAGCUAAAUAUUGGCCAGAGACCGAUAGCGCACAAGUAGAGUGAUCGAAAGAUGAAAAGCACUUUGGAAAGAGAGUCAAACAGCACGUGAAAUUGUUGAAAGGGAAGCGCUUUCAGCCAGACUUGCUUGCAGUUGCUCAUCCGGGCUUUUCCCGGUGCACUCCUCUGCAGGCAGCCAGCAUCAGUUUGGCGGUGGGAUAAAGGUCUUUGACACGUUCCUUCCUUCGGGUUGCCAUAUAGGGAGACGUCAUACCACCAGCCUGGACUGAGGUCCGCGCAUCUGCUAGGAUGCUGGCGUAAUGGCUGUAAGCGGCCCGUCUUGAAACACGGACCAAGGAGUCUAACAUCUAUGCGAGUGUUUGGGUGUCAAGCCCGAGCGCGUAAUGAAAGUGAACGGAGGUGGGAACCCGCAAGGGCGCACCAUCGACCGAUCCUGAAGUUUACGGAAGGAUUUGAGUAAGAGCAUGGCUGUUGGGACCCGAAAGAUGGUGAACUAUGCUUGAAUAGGGUGAAGCCAGAGGAAACUCUGGUGGAGGCU